rnacentral:rRNA from 1 species
UACAGAGGGUGCAAGCGUUGCUCGGAAUCAUUGGGCGUAAAGGGCACGUAGGUGGUCUCAUUUGUCUUGUGUGAAAUCCUUGGGCUUAACUCAAGAAGUGCGCAAGAAACGGUGAGACUCGAGUUCUGGAGAGGGUCGUGGAAUUCCCGGUGUAGUGGUGGAAUGCGUAGAUAUCGGGAGGAACACCGGUGGCGAAGGCGGCGACCUGGGUCGAGACUGACGCUGAGGCGCGAAAGCGUGGGGAGCAAACAGG